rnacentral:rRNA from 1 species
GAUGAACGCUGGCGGCGUGCCUAAUACAUGCAAGUCGAGCGAACAGAUGCUGAUCUUGCUCGUCGCACGUUAGCCGCGGACGGGUGAGUAACACGUGUAUAACCUACCUAUCUGUCUGAGAUAACUACGGGACACCGGAUCUAACACCGUAGAAUAUAUUGAACCGUGGGGGUCGUUGGUAAAAUUCGGCUUUGCUGUCACUACUCGAUGCAUCCGAGCCGCUUGGGCUAGUUGUGAGGGUAACGGGUUACCAAGGCGAGGAUGCGUAGCCGACGUGAGAGGGUGAUCGGCGACACUGGAGGUGAGACACGGUCAAGACUCCUACGGGAGGGAGCAGUAGGGAACGUGCGGCAAUGGGCGAAAGCCUGACGGAGCAACGCCGCGUGAGUGAUGAAGGUCUUCGGAUCGUAAAACCCUGUUAUGAGGGAAGAACAAAUGUGGAAGUAACUAUGCACGUCUUGACGGUAACUGAUAAGAAAGCCACGGCUAACUACGUG